rnacentral:piRNA from 1 species
CAAUUGAACGAAAUGUGCCAC